UUCUAGAAAUAAAUUCAUAGAAGUAGUUUCAGUUUUGUUUUAAGACCUAAUGAACUGUAUUCGUUUUGCCCAUAUUUGUCACUUCUGUAAUCUAUUUCUUAGGUUUGGCUAGGAAUUAAAUCUGUCGGAAGAAUAAAUGCAGAAAACAAUGGAAACACUUGAAGUCAGCACCUGGUGCUCAUCAAGGCUGAGGUAGAGGGGCAGAGAACAAAGAUACAGCAGGAAUUCUUCUCUGGAGGCCUGAGGGACUGGAUGGCAUUUUGAGUCAAGCUGUCUCUUGGAAACUGAAGCCAUCAAGAGAGGCUGGAUUGUGAUGGUGGGACAACUGGCACUCAGCUGCGUGGG
rnacentral:lncRNA from 1 species